rnacentral:piRNA from 1 species
UUGAAUGAAACCCCAAUCUCCUCCCA